GUAAAAUCAUUUGUAUGACUGAAUUACAUGUUAAGUCAUUGUAAAGAUGCAAUUGGAUGGUCCUACUACUCUGGUGGCGUGAAUGACACGAAUUGGGCGGGAGCUAAAAAUGUCUCAGCUUGAGUGGAUAUUCAGCGCAAAGGUUGCCAGGUAGCAUAUGAAAAUGGACGAUUGUUCACUGGUAUCUAAAAUGGAGGACAAACUAAUCAUGUCGGUGUGUGGGUGCCCCGAAUUAUACGAUACCUUUUCUUUCAAUUACCGAAACCAGAAUAAAAAGGAGCUCGCCUGGAGGCAGGUGAGUGAGGAGGUCGGAUUACCUGGUAAAUUGUGAAAAACUUUUGUCUAUCACUUGAUCCCACUAGUUGAAUUGGCAGGGAUUACUGUUGAAAUUACCAUUGGCACACAAAUGAAGCAUGUAAAUACUAUUCAUUCACACGUCUAGAUUCACAUGAAUUAAGCGAGUCGAUGAUUUUACUUGUCCUUGGUGUGGGUGCCCCAUAAGGGAGCUGGUCUCCCCAGGUGUUUUUAAAAGCUGUGGAGGAAGAUGCAUCAGGCUCGGAUGGUUUGCAUGAAAGUUUCUGUUGUAUGACCCUGAACAUGUUUCAGAAUCAGAAUCAGAAUCAGAAUCAGAAUGCCUUUUAUUGUCAUUAUACGCAGUACAAUGAGAUUAAAGCCACCCAUAUCAGUGCAAGACAUUAUAAAAAGACAGAUAAAAAGUAUAGAAAAUAUGAAACAAGAUUAAUAUGAAGUAUAUACAAUGUAAACGUGUGGACCUGAGAUUCUUUUGACAGGAUAAAUAUGGUACGGAUGUGCAUAGGUGUAAAAUGUAACAGUAUAAAAUAUAAAGUGCACAGUCCUGAGAUCCUAAUUAACGGAAUAAAUAUGGUAAAUAUACAGAAAUAACAUAAAUGUAAUGUGCAAAUGAAUCUAUAUUGUCCUUCAGUGAUUUGGAAUAUUGCACAUGUUUAGGUAUAUAGAAGUAGAAAUAUGCAAUAUGCAUUUUUUAACAGUGUAUGUGUAUGACUGUAACUUUGUUGGAAUCUGCUGCUGCUGUCUCGGCCAGGCCAGUCUUGUAAAAAUCAAUCAAUCAAUCAAACUUUAUUUACGGUCUCUCUCUCUCUCUCUAAUUGUUGCUUUAUAUUGUAUUGCAGGUAUUGUAUUGGUGAUCAGCCUCAGUUCGAUAACGCGGCUGCCUGACAGUAACAGAACUAUUAUGCUCUCCAUCUGCUCAACUGGGACUAUGUGCAGGACAGAGCAACCUUCAACUCUCCAUGAAGAAAAUCAGCAGAGAACAGAGCGUUCACUUAAACCCCUGAAGCCAAAGUGAUCACAGUUCUUUAUUGCAGGUUUCUGGAAGCUGUUGAGUCUUUUUGUGGUUGUAUUUUAUUGUCAUAGCAAAGAGACACAUUUAAAACAAAACAACAAAGGAUCAGAUGAGGAUACACUGUGAAACCAAACAGAGCAAACAAACCGUGUUAAUGUGCAACUUCAGUUUCUACAUUCCCGUAUAGGCAGUGAUAGGGAGUGAUCUCCUGCUGUGUACUGUUGCUAAGAAACCGCACAGGAGCCUCGACUUUCCUUGUUUGCAGCAUUUUGCUGCAGUAUCCUCAUCCUCAUGCGAUGCUGGGCUCCUAUGGAGGAUCACUUACAGCAGACACGCAGACAGCUGAAAGAAAGGUUAUUACUCAACAGAAAAUAAAGGUCCCAUUUGCAGUCAGACGUCCCACUUAAUCACAGUAGAACUGCCAAUGAUGAAGGUCAAGGACGACAAUCUCUGCAUCCUAUGAUGUUCUCCUCUAGCACAAGAUUAUGACAACAUCAGAGGAAUUGUAUCAAACCCUUCGAUUUAAAAUGCAUGCCACAUUUUUUAAAAAAAAUAUUUCAUGUAAACAUUUUCCAUUCCAACAGACAGGCACAAGGACAAGAAGACUUAAUAGUCACAUUCAGUGCAAAGUUGACAGAUGUCAGCAAAAAUUUAAGGAAAACAGCUUCUCGACCAUAACAUCCUGAAUAGAAAACAAAAUACAAGACAAAUUUAAAUAAAACAUGAUUAGAAGAACAGAACAAAGCAAGAAAACAAACAAAUAACAA